rnacentral:tRNA from 1 species
AAGUAUUAAUUAUUGAUUUCGACUCAAUUUUAGGGAAACCAGUACUUA